rnacentral:lncRNA from 1 species
CUUUGUUAUUCUCUGUACUCCCAGUGAAUGUUAAUGCUGACCAAAAAUGAUAAGGAAAGCUGAAGAUUUCGAACUUUUUUGUUGAAAAGCUACCUUCUUCCAUGUGGCAACUGAAAAGUCCAUUCUCUACAGAAGAAUAUAGGAUCAAGGUUGUCUUACAUGAGAACUGCUCACCAGAACAGAGAACAGCCAAUGCCAUGCUUUGUGCAGCUAGGCUAAAUCAAAAUAACAGCAUCCUGACAAACAUUUGGAUGUUUCUAUGUUACCUCCUCCAUAGAAGCAGCUAUAUGACCAAGCAAGCAAGCCAGAAGGUGACUUCCAGUAACAUAGAUCAAAGGGACGCAACGAGUUUCAGUAGGACAUCAAAUACUGUGCUUAUGGCAACUUGAGGUUUGGGCUUCAUUUAGAAACCCAAUACGCACUCGGUCCAUUUGUCUCUCUUGUAAUUUUUCCUUCAGUUUUAUUGACUUAUUAGAAAAUGCAUUGUUAAUCCAGAUCUAACAGUGUGUAAUGGCAAGUUAUUUCGACCUGUAUUGGUUUUACAUAAUGUACUCACAUGCAACUCCUGUCAGUUUUUGCAAAACAUACUUUUGUAAUCAAGUGAGGAACUGAAUGCACUUUCAAAUGAGACUUUGUUUUGUGUUCAUACAUGUCUGUGAGCAUAUGUAUGUAUUUUAUCAGUAUUUUAGACAUAUUGGGGAAAAUUGAAAAUUUCUGUUGUUAGUGUUUAACCUUAUGUAUAUUGAAUGAAUCAUUGUAGGAUCAUUUCACCCUACACAUUUGGAACUUAUUCACUGAACCGGAGAAGCAACUUGCCUUUAGAUCCAAAAAUCUUCAGUAAGAUAAGUCUGAUAUCAGUACUUUAGAAAGCCUAUAGCUUGGGGAUAGUGUACAUGAAAGAAUGUAAGAGAGCUGAUGGGGUACUUUUAAAAAAUGUCCUGACAGAGUCAAGGUGAUGGCCAUUUUUAGCUGCCCUGCUAUCCAUCACCUCUUUCAGCCAGGCAUACUCCAUCAUAUGCAACAGCCUCAUGAAUUUAUGCAUCAAGCUGUGCAGCCAGUCGUGCCGAGGGCUCUGGUGACAAGUGAAAUUGCUGUGCGCCUCAUUUAGCUGUUUAUUGCGCCUGAGUACGUGUUGCAGCUGUCAUCUUACGAUGGGAUGAUAGUGCUCGUUAAUAGACAAGACAGGCAAAUAAUGAUGGAGACUAUAGCAAGAGAUGCUCAUCUGCCAAUAGGCUCUCAGCAAUAUCACAAACAUUCACAAAGUUUUCAAUCAAAAACAACACUGCAAGAAAAUACUGAGGCCAGCAUCUGUUCUUUAUGUGACUAGCAGUGCAGAUUAAACUUCUGAGAAACUGUGGCCCAAUCUGCCUCUUAACUUUUUGAAUUUUUAUCUUUUAGAGUGAAAAAAGAGUCUUUCUUUUUAAAUGAAGUUUCAAAGGAAUGAUUUGCAAGUGACAAAAUAACCCAGAGUGCUCUUAGGGCUUUUCUGAUCCUUCAGGUAAAACUCUGCCUGCUGUAACUAGAAUCCUUCCCCCUUGUUUGUGUGGUGCAAACACAAAACAUGUGGAAUUCACAAGCAUUGCAUCGAGGUUUUUGUUUAAGUGUUGCUUAAUGUGUUUCAGUUGCCUGGUUCUGCAGUUUAACAUUAUUCUGCUUGAACACUUCCUCUGGAAAAAAAGAAGUCUCUUUUAGAGGUGUGUAGAAUCAUUUCAAUAGAAGAAAAAAAGAUACACCUGUAAAACCUGCAUUUCUUUCUGUGAAACUGGAGAUACGAUGAAUGCAAAUUCACAUGCAUAAAACCCUUUCAGUAAAGAUGAUACCUUAUUCUGCCUUUACCCUGUACAUUUAAAUUAGUGGUUUGCAGUAAUUCGCAGUGUUCUCUUCUGUGAUUUGCAAAAUUCUUUGCUCAAAUUAAUUAUUUUAUACUCCAUAGUAUUAAUUUUUAACUUAUUUAUAAAUAAAUCAAUUAUAUUUGCUAAAUAAAUCCUUUGU